GUGCUUGCUUUGGCAGCAUACCUGCUAAAAUUGAGAUGAUGUAGACAUUGGCAUGGCACCAGCACAGGAUGACAAGCAAAUUCAUGAAGUGUUCCACAUUUUG